AAAUAUUAUAAAUAUUAUAUCUAACAUAAUGAGUAUCUAUAAUAUAAUAUAUUAUAGAUACUCAUUAUGCGUGUCUUCUCGUGCGUUAUAACGCACGUAAUUUUAAUCCUCGUGUGGGACAUUAGGGGGGGUCUUAAAAACUCGAUUCUCUUUACUAAACAUCAUCAUACAACAAGUUUUUAUCCUGGGGUGGGUACCCUUUUAAGGCACUUCUUACAUCAAGCAACAAACACAAACACCAAACCUCCUGACCUCCGAACUCGACAACUCAAACUCAACAACUCAAACUCAACAACUCAACUCCUGACCUCCGAACUCAACAACUCAACUCCUCAACUUUCAACUCAACCUACCCAUUCCUUGUUCCUAUUUCCAAAUUUCCUAGUUCCGAUUUCCCUCUCCUCUAAUUCCUAGUUUCAGUUUCGACCCUUCUCUUCUCCCCUCCGUGGUCCCCUUGCCGGAUCGGGGACCACUUCGGCCUCGCUUCGCUCCUUUUCUCUCAAGGUUUCUCAAAAAAGAAAAAGAAAUUACGUAAGUGAGCACAGAAACUUCUACCUUCAUCCGAAGUGGGAGCUCUAAAGGCUGUGCUUGGGGUAUCUUUCGAGAAUUGAUACCCCGGGGAAGUGGUAUUGGUGACACCACUUCCCUAUGCCCAUGUUGACCGACGUUGGCUCCAUACGGAGGGAACGGGGGAUUCUUUUGGUUGGGGAAUGUUUUUUGCUUAACACAUCAAAUCACAAAAAAACAUCCCCCUUAAGAAUCCCCCUCCGGUGGUGAAACAGAGAGAGACUGGCCCUUUAGGGACCAGUCUUUCCUUUAAUAAAUAUAACUCUCUCUAUUAUAAUAGAGAGAGCUAUAUUUAUUAUGUUAAUAAAUAGAUAUCUCUAUAUUAUAAUAUAGAGAUAUCUAUUUAUUAUGUAUUUAUAUAUUAUAAAAAUAUAUAAAUAUUAAAUUUAAAUAUUUAAAAUAAAUAUUAAAAUUAAAAAAAAAUAUUUAUAAAUAUUAUAAAUAUUAUAUCUAACAUAAUGAGUAUCUAUAAUAUAAUAUAUUAUAGAUACUCAUUAUGCGUGUCUUCUCGUGCGUUAUAACGCACGUAAUUUUAAUCCUCGUGUGGGACAUUAGGGGGGGUCUUAAAAACUCGAUUCUCUUUACUAAACAUCAUCAUACAACAAGUUUUUAUCCUGGGGUGGGUACCCUUUUAAGGCACUUCUUACAUCAAGCAACAAACACAAACACCAAACCUCCUGACCUCCGAACUCGACAACUCAAACUCAACAACUCAAACUCAACAACUCAACUCCUGACCUCCGAACUCAACAACUCAACUCCUCAACUUUCAACUCAACCUACCCAUUCCUUGUUCCUAUUUCCAAAUUUCCUAGUUCCGAUUUCCCUCUCCUCUAAUUCCUAGUUUCAGUUUCGACCCUUCUCUUCUCCCCUCCGUGGUCCCCUUGCCGGAUCGGGGACCACUUCGGCCUCGCUUCGCUCCUUUUCUCUCAAGGUUUCUCAAAAAAGAAAAAGAAAUUACGUAAGUGAGCACAGAAACUUCUACCUUCAUCCGAAGUGGGAGCUCUAAAGGCUGUGCUUGGGGUAUCUUUCGAGAAUUGAUACCCCGGGGAAGUGGUAUUGGUGACACCACUUCCCUAUGCCCAUGUUGACCGACGUUGGCUCCAUACGGAGGGAACGGGGGAUUCUUUUGGUUGGGGAAUGUUUUUUGCUUAACACAUCAAAUCACAAAAAAACAUCCCCCUUAAGAAUCCCCCUCCGGUGGUGAAACAGAGAGAGACUGGCCCUUUAGGGACCAGUCUUUCCUUUAAUAAAUAUAACUCUCUCUAUUAUAAUAGAGAGAGCUAUAUUUAUUAUGUUAAUAAAUAGAUAUCUCUAUAUUAUAAUAUAGAGAUAUCUAUUUAUUAUGUAUUUAUAUAUUAUAAAAAUAUAUAAAUAUUAAAUUUAAAUAUUUAAAAUAAAUAUUAAAAUUAAAAAAAAAUAUUUAUAAAUAUUAUAAAUAUUAUAUCUAACAUAAUGAGUAUCUAUAAUAUAAUAUAUUAUAGAUACUCAUUAUGCGUGUCUUCUCGUGCGUUAUAACGCACGUAAUUUUAAUCCUCGUGUGGGACAUUAGGGGGGGUCUUAAAAACUCGAUUCUCUUUACUAAACAUCAUCAUACAACAAGUUUUUAUCCUGGGGUGGGUACCCUUUUAAGGCACUUCUUACAUCAAGCAACAAACACAAACACCAAACCUCCUGACCUCCGAACUCGACAACUCAAACUCAACAACUCAAACUCAACAACUCAACUCCUGACCUCCGAACUCAACAACUCAACUCCUCAACUUUCAACUCAACCUACCCAUUCCUUGUUCCUAUUUCCAAAUUUCCUAGUUCCGAUUUCCCUCUCCUCUAAUUCCUAGUUUCAGUUUCGACCCUUCUCUUCUCCCCUCCGUGGUCCCCUUGCCGGAUCGGGGACCACUUCGGCCUCGCUUCGCUCCUUUUCUCUCAAGGUUUCUCAAAAAAGAAAAAGAAAUUACGUAAGUGAGCACAGAAACUUCUACCUUCAUCCGAAGUGGGAGCUCUAAAGGCUGUGCUUGGGGUAUCUUUCGAGAAUUGAUACCCCGGGGAAGUGGUAUUGGUGA
rnacentral:lncRNA from 1 species